rnacentral:rRNA from 1 species
UAACCUGGAGGAAGGUGGGGAUGACGUCAAAUCAUCAUGCCCCUUAUGAUCUGGGCUACACACGUGCUACAAUGGCGUAAACAAAGAGAAGCAAGACCGCGAGGUGGAGCAAAUCUCAAAAAUAACGUCUCAGUUCGGACUGCAGGCUGCAACUCGCCUGCACGAAGCUGGAAUCGCUAGUAAUCGCGAAUCAGAAUGUCGCGGUGAAUACGUUCCCGGGUCUUGUACACACCGCCCGUCACACCAUGGGAGUCAGUAACGCCCGAAGUCAGUGACCCAACCGCAAGGAGGGAGCUGCCGAAGGCGGGACCGAUAACUGGGGUGAAGUCGUAACAAGGUAGCCGUAUCGGAAGGUGCGGCUGGAUCACCUCCUUUCUAAGGAA